GCCGAUGAUGUACACACAUUCAGCUGAAGCAAUAGUCAAAACUUUUUGUUGAUCAGAACAAAAAUCACGGGAAGCCGAAACGAAAACAACGAUAAACAUAAGCGAGAACGAACUUUGCAAGGCAUGAGCGAGAGAGGGACAUUGUGAGCACUUUUCAAGAAGUACAAAGUUAUGCGACUUGUUUCCUGAUCCAGCUAUUGUCAUGGUGACUUCUAAAGCGCUCUGCAUUUGCGCGUUCUUCACAUUUUUAGACCAACUAUGUAUUACUGCUGACCAACAUGACUGUCGGCCCGUCUCAUCCAUCAACGAAUACACGCUUCGAGGGCACGCCUACAAGUCAAUCACUGGCAAACAAUUAACCACUUGUGUAAUCACGUGUGAUGGCGAUCCAAACUGCUACAGCCUGAACUAUAGAUUUCCCACAAGUAUUUGCGAGCUGAAUGGAGGCACGCGAGUCUCGCAUCCUGAGCACUUUGUCUAUACCGCUGACUCGGUAUAUCUCGAGCAUUUGUCAAGGCCCGCGGGCUCGUGUUCUGGUGGAUGGCCUUGCAGCAAUAAGGCGACAUGCGUGAACGUUCCCAUGAUGCCUGGGUACAAGUGUUACUGUCAGGAGGGGUACACGGGCGAGUUAUGUCAAGAUUGCAAAUCUCCGCCAAUCGGUAUUUCUGACGAAAAAUACAUCGGAAACUCUCGAAUAGCAGGAUCAUCAACCGGCCAAUGGGUACUAGACUACUUCGAACCUUAUAAAGGAAGACUUCAUGGUCCGUCUUCCUGGGUCCCAGGGCUUCUCGACAGCACGCCUUGGUUACAAGUGAACCUCGGUCCCAAGACGAGACUGGUGACCCACAUUGCAACACAAGGAAGCCCAGUUCAAAGUUGGUGGACAAAGAAAUAUAGAGUUUGUUAUGGAAUUUUUAACGGAAGUUUGAAGGACUACCGAGAGAGCGGAGUGAGAAGGGAAUUCAAUGGAAAUACAGACAGGAAUGGAGUGGUGAAACACGCUCUGAGGGAUCCGUUUGAGGCAAAGAUAGUACGGAUUUACCCAACAGAUAGUAAUACGCGCUCCGCUCUCAGACUUGAGCUGUACGGCUGCAUCGUAUACUGAGGUUGACGAUAAAGAGCUUAGGCAAGUCAACACAAACGGCAUCAAAAACGGCGCGCGCGCUCACGAAUUGCUAAAAAACGGCGUUGACGUUCGUGACAGGAAAUCUCGAACGGCAUUUUCCCUAUUUUUACGUUCUACGCGCGCGGUCACGGACGCCAACGCUGUUUUUCAGCAAUUCGUGAGCGCGCGCGCCGUGAUGCCGUUCAUGUUGACUUGCCUAAGCUCUCUAAUGAGUUGAAGUAGAAUGCAGGGGUGUAGCCAGGUUUUUUAACAGGAAGGGGCCCGAAAGGCCCAUAGACGACAUUUUCUCCUGUAUUUUAAGUUCACGUCAUAAUCACGAAAACUUCGCGAACACGCCAUCAGCACGCAUAAUCCAUCGCGCGCGAGCACGAAGUGCCAACAUUACACGUCAUAAUCACGGAUAGCGUCACAACAGCAUACCGAGAACACCACAUGAAAUGUCUUUUUGACGAUGUUUCUUUACGAUGUAGUGACUCUUUGUAAAACAGGCUAGUUAUAUGGCAAAUUAUAUCGAUUUAGCCACUACCUAAAAGCGAAGCCGGCUUGUUUUUAGGGUGUGGGUCACGUGACAUGGUGGUUCGACAUCAGAGAGCGCCUAUUGUUUAUGUCAUUUGAAGUUCGCCAGGUUUCCUAACCAGUCUCCUUUUCUAACUAUGGUCAGAUUCGUAAAUUAUUCUUAUUAUGAUCUUUACUUCACUGCACAGACGGUAAAUAUUAGAGGGUUUUCAAGCACACUUUAUUUAAGGUUGAUUGUUACUAUUUGAUAUCAUUUUCAAGACUAUGUUACAAAUAAUAUGUACAGCAUAUUAAAAAUCAAGAACCCGUA